UGAGAUAGAGGAUGCACCUAGUCAGGAGUAUCUGUUCCGUAAGAUGUGCAGAUCGGGAACAGCGAAAGGGGCGGGUGCCGAAGCGAUGACCGGCCUGCAUGCCGUCUGAACUGGGAGUAUGGAUAAUAUCCAUGCGACUGUCGCGAAGGAACGCGGAGAGCUAUCC
rnacentral:ncRNA from 1 species